rnacentral:rRNA from 1 species
UGGCGGACGGGUGAGUAACGCGUGGGUAACCUGCCCUGUACAGGGGGAUAACAGCUGGAAACGGCUGCUAAUACCGCAUAAGCGCACGAGGAGACAUCUCCUUGUGUGAAAAACUCCGGUGGUACAGGAUGGGCCCGCGUCUGAUUAGCUGGUUGGCAGGGUAACGGCCUACCAAGCCGACGAUCAGUAGCCGACCUGAGAGGGUGACCGGCCACAUUGGGACUGAGACACGGCCCAA